rnacentral:rRNA from 1 species
AAGUCGUAACAAGGUUUCCUUCCCCCUAUUGAAGCCUUCCGCAGCGACUUGAUAAAUAACUGCGUAGCCUGCUUUGCGGACCACACCACGGAAGUGCUAGGACUUGAUCAACUUCGAGUACCAGCAGCCUAGAGUUCUAGGUCCACAGAUCACGUAGUGGUGGUCAUUUAUGAUUGAGAUAUGACCGGUCUUAACUAAUUCUAGUUAAGAAUCAACGUUCCGUAGGUGAACCUGCGGAAGGAUCAUUAUUGAAAAGGGAACCCUUCGGGGUUCAACCUUAAACCCUUUGUCUUAAUUACCUGUUUCUUUGGCGGGCUCGCCCGUCAGAAGUUUUCUCAAACCCAUUAUAAAUGUGUCAUCUGAAUAACAAAAUAAAUUAAAACUUUCAACAACGGAUCUCUUGGUUCUGGCAUCGAUGAAGAACGCAGCGAAAUGCGAUAAGUAAUGUGAAUUGCAGAAUUCAGUGAAUCAUCGAAUCUUUGAACGCAUAUUGCGCCCUUUGGCAUUCCGAAGGGCAUACAUGUUCGAGCGUCAUUACACCCCUCAAGUCAAACUUUUUGGUUAACUUGGUGUUGGGCCUUGCCGGAAGGCAUGCCUAAAAAUUAGCAAUGGUACGUUAAACCACGGACGCACAAAUGUCGUUACGUAGGGCACGGCACCAGUCUAAUGAUCAAUGUUGACCUCGGAUCAGGUAGGAAUACCCGCUGAACUUAAGCAUAUCAUAAGCGGAGGAAAAGAAACCAACAGGGAUUGCCUCAGUAACGGCGAGUGAAGCGGCAACAGCUCAAAUUUGAAAUCUGACUUUCGGGUCCGAGUUGUAAUUUGUAGAGGAUGUUUCGGGUAAGAUCUAGGUCUAAGUUCCUUGGAACAGGACGUCAUAGAGGGUGAGAAUCCCGUACGUGGCCGAGGAUCGCACCCAUGUGAAACUCCUUCGACGAGUCGAGUUGUUUGGGAAUGCAGCUCAAAAUGGGUGGUAAAUUUCAUCUAAAGCUAAAUAUUGGCCAGAGACCGAUAGCGCACAAGUAGAGUGAUCGAAAGAUGAAAAGCACUUUGAAAAGAGAGUUAAACAGUAUGUGAAAUUGUUGAAAGGGAAGCGCUUGCAACCAGACUUGUUUAUAGGGUUCAGCCGUCGUUCUCGUCGGUGUAUUUCCCUAUUAUCAGGCCAGCAUCGGUUUAGGUGGAAGGUUAAAGGCCUUGGGAAUGUAGCACUCCUCGGGGUGUCUUAUAGCCCUUGGUGUAAUGCUUCCUACCCGGACCGAGGAGCGCGCUUCGGCUCGGAUGCUGGCGUAAUGGUUGUAAGCGACC